UUCCGAGUCGGCUUUUAGCACCGGAGGACGCGUCAUCAGCGAUUAUAGGAGCAGCCUUGCGCCCACUACCGUUGAGUCUUUGAUAUGUCUACAGGAUUGGUUUAAGGCAGCUGACGCUAGGAAGAAUGAGUAGGAAUUUGUUUGAAGCUUCCCUUGCAUCAUACCAGGCUGAAUGUGCUUCUUCAGCGACGACCUGAAGGGAGCAACAACAGCUGGAUGGCGAGCACUUGUUCAGGGAGGAUGGCGAGUAAGUCUGGGAGCUACUACACAUGAUCAGCCACUGGCGAUGGAUAAUGGCACGAUGCAGAGUAUGCUUCAGUAAGAUAGUCUGUACUGAUGAAUCUGUCACUUUUAAAUGCUGCUGAAUCUGUACUGUUGAAUCUGUCACAGUAAGAUAGUCUGAUCAAUGUUGCUGAGUCUGUCAAAUGCUCUCUGAUGUAUUGUUCAGACUUUUCCUCCUGAAAUUUUCUUGUACUACCGUGAAUGGGGUGUAACUAUCCAAAGAGACAGCUAUGUAUUCUAUGUUGGACACUACCCAAUGUUGUCAUAUUUUGCCUUUGCUGAGAAUGAAUCAAUUGGAAGGGAGCGCUACG